rnacentral:lncRNA from 1 species
UUACGGGAACUCGUCUUCAUGAAGAUUCAAGAUGUAGCAAUUUCUUUUUUCGGUAGUAUUUAAGCAAGACAAUUUUUAUUAUAAUUGAUCAAUAUUUCUUUUUGUGCCAACAAAAUACUUCUGAAAGCGUUCACUGUGCAUGGUAUCUUUUCAGCAAUUGCUUCCGCAUUUUGACCCUGGGAAAUGUUAUGAAAUACACAAGGCCACCCCUCCCUCAUCAUAUAAGGAGAAAGGUGUGUGAUAACCAUUGUGCACUGGCUCCCUUUUUCACCCAGAAGCAGUUUUUAUUUUUGCUACCAUUAAAAUGUUCCUAUUUAAGGAACCAGCCUAAAAAAAACUAGCAUUUUGAAGAACUUACCUUAAGCGUUGAAGCACGGCAGGCAGAACCAAUUCUUUUCGGAAAAUGUACAGCAUCCAGAAACAGAUCAAUACUUUUGCACCGCGGCCGCCAUCCACCUCCAUUUUCACUGCUGUGAAUCUCGUGAAGCUGGGAGCAUUGAGCUCUGUUAUCUUGUUCCCCUAAGUGCAGCUGUUUAUGAUUUUGUUUCCUUAUUUACAGAAUUGGAGAAAUGGGAUUCAUCGCAUAAUAAAAACAGUAAUGUUAAAAAAAAAUCGUUAUCUCCCCAAAAUAGAGAAGAGUUAGAGAAGGAAGCUGUGAAGUGUGCCCAACAAGACCCACAUCUGAUGGUGGCAGUGCAGGCACAGCCCUGCUGUGGAGGGGAUUGCUGUUCCUGCCACUCAGGGCUCUCACUGCCUGUCACAGAGAGGCCCAACGAAACGAGCAGAAAUCCCAGAAGAUGGACUUUGACAAAAGGAAUCUUGGACUCUUCUUCUCUCGUGUUAGAUGUAACAGGAUCUCAUACAGACCCCUUCAUGACAAGACCGUAGGAAAACAGAUUUGUCCAUUCAACAAAUGUCUCUCCAUUGCUUGAUGGAUAUCAAGUCUAUGCAAAACUCCUUGGGGGCAUAUAAGGUCAUAUAAGGCAGGAAUACAAAUAACUAAAUCAAGUAAGUAUUGUAAUAAAAGUGCCAAAAAGAUUCGUGAAACA